UAGCUAGUUGGUGAGGUAAAGGCUUACCAAGGCGACGAUCUGUAGCGGGUCUGAGAGGAUGAUCCGCCACACUGGAACUGAGACACGGUCCAGACUCCUACGGGGGGCAGCAGUGGGGAAUUUUGGGCAAUGGGGGCAACCCUGAUCCAGCCAUGCCGCGUGAGUGAAGAAGGCCUUCGGGUUGUAAAGCUCUUUCGGCCGGGAAGAAAUCGCAUGGGCCAAUACCCUGUGUGGAUGACGGUACCGGAAUAAGAAGCACCGGCUAACUACGUGCCAGCAGCCGCGGUAAUACGUAGGGUGCGAGCGUUAAUCGGAAUUACUGGGCGUAAAGCGUGCGCAGGCGGUUUUGUAAGACAGGCGUGGAAUCCCCGGGCUUAACCUGGGAACUGCGUUUGUGACUGCAAGGCUAGAGUACGGCAGAGGGGGGUGGAAUUCCACGUGUAGCAGUGAAAUGCGUAGAGAUGUGGAGGAACACCAAUGGCGAAGGCAGCCCCCUGGGUCGAUACUGACGCUCAUGCACGAAAGCGUGGGUAGCAAACAGGAUUAGAUACCCUGGUAGUCCACGCCCUAAACUAUGUCAACUAGGUGUUGGGUGGGUAAAACCAUUUAGUACCGUAGCUAACGCGUGAAGUUGACCGCCUGGGGAGUACGGCCGCAAGGUUAAAACUCAAAGGAAUUGACGGGGACCCGCACAAGCGGUGGAUGAUGUGGAUUAAUUCGAUGCAACGCGAAAAACCUUACCUACCCUUGACAUGCCAGGAACUUGCCAGAGAUGGCUUGGUGCCCGAAAGGGAGCCUGGACACAGGUGCUGCAUGGCUGUCGUCAGCUCGUGUCGUGAGAUGUUGGGUUAAGUCCCGCAACGAGCGCAACCCUUGUCGUUAAUUGCCAUCAUUUAGUUGGGCACUUUAACGAGACUGCCGGUGACAAACCGGAGGAAGGUGGGGAUGACGUCAAGUCCUCAUGGCCCUUAUGGGUAGGGCUUCACACGUCAUACAAUGGUCGGUACAAAGGGUUGCCAAGCCGCGAGGCGGAGCCAAUCCCAGAAAGCCGAUCGUAGUCCGGAUUGCAGGCUGCAACUCGCCUGCAUGAAGUCGGAAUCGCUAGUAAUCGUGGAUCAGCAUGUCACGGUGAAUACGUUCCCGGGUCUUGUACACACCGCCCGUCACACCAUGGGAGCGGGUUCCGCCAGAAGUAGGUAGCCUAACCGCAAGGGGGGCGCUUACCACGGCGGGGUUCGUGACUGGGGUGAAGUCGGAACAAGGUAGCCGUAGGGGAACCUGCGGCUG
rnacentral:rRNA from 1 species